rnacentral:rRNA from 1 species
CACGUAGGGUGCGAGCGUUGUCCGGAAUUAUUGGGCGUAAAGAGCUCGUAGGCGGUCUGUCGCGUCGAUCGUGAAAACUUGGGGCUUAACCCUGAGCUUGCGGUCGAUACGGGCAUGACUGGAGUUCGGCAGGGGAGACUGGAAUUCCUGGUGUAGCGGUGAAAUGCGCAGAUAUCAGGAGGAACACCGGUGGCGAAGGCGGGUCUCUGGGCCGAUACUGACGCUGAGGAGCGAAAGCCAGGGGAGCAAACGGG